CUGCAGGCGCCAUCGCGACGCUGAUCUCCGUAGCCAUAGUCUCUUAUUUCCUCUGUAAAACUACUCAGCAAAAGUCUUCCGGAAAAAAGAAACUUCAAGGACGUAGAACUGGACUCGUCGCCGCCAUUGGCAACACUCCGUUAAUCAGAAUCAAUACCCUCUCCGAUGCAACUGGCUGUGAAAUUUUGGGGAAAGCUGAAUUCUUGAAUCCUGGAGGGAGUGUGAAAGAUAGGGUAGCUGUGAAGAUAAUUGAAGAGGCCCUGGAAUCUGGAGCGUUAGCUGAAGGUGGAGUAGUUACAGAGGGCAGUGCAGGAAGUACAGCCAUUAGUCUAGCAACAGUAGCACCUGCUUAUGGGUGCAGAUGCCAUGUGGUUAUCCCAGAUGAUGCUGCUCUUGAAAAGGCACAAAUACUAGAAGCACUAGGAG
rnacentral:misc_RNA from 1 species